GUCAUAUAGAGCGACUACUAUAAUGAGCGAUCAUAAAUAACAUUACUCCAUGAUAAUAGAUUGAAAGAGAUUUAUUUAUUUAUUUUUUUUUUUUUAAGGUUUUCCCAAUGAUUAAUUCCUCAAUUUUAUUUUCCAUAGAGUUUACACAGCCUUUAGCAUUAGAAUUGAUUUUUAGUUUAUAGAUUAUACAGAGAUAUUGUUUCUUUGCUGAUCUCUUCAAUUUCCCCUAAAAGGCAUAUGCAUUCAAAAGGAACCAACCACUCAAUAAUCAAAACAGAAGCUGCAGACGCCCCCCGGGGCACAUCCAAGUUGGCACAACAAUCACAUUGGAGGGCUCUGGAACCAAGCGUGAGGAGUUCGAUUCCUGGAACGCAC
rnacentral:lncRNA from 1 species